CAGCUUGCUGUUUCGCUGACGAGUGGCGGACGGGUGAGUAAUGUCUGGGAAACUGCCUGAUGGAGGGGGAUAACUACUGGAAACGGUAGCUAAUACCGCAUAACGUCGCAAGACCAAAGAGGGGGACCUUCGGGCCUCUUGCCAUCGGAUGUGCCCAGAUGGGAUUAGCUNGUUGGUGGGGUAACGGCUCACCNAGGCGACGAUCCCUAGCUGGUCUGAGAGGAUGACCAGCCACACUGGAACUGAGACACGGUCCAGACUCCUACGGGAGGCAGCAGUGGGGAAUAUUGCACAAUGGGCGCAAGCCUGAUGCAGCCAUGCCGCGUGUAUGAAGAAGGCCUUCGGGUUGUAAAGUACUUUCAGCGGGGAGGAAGGGAGUAAAGUUAAUACCUUUGCUCAUUGACGUUACCCGCAGAAGAAGCACCGGCUAACUCCGUGCCAGCAGCCGCGGUAAUACGGAGGGUGCAAGCGUUAAUCGGAAUUACUGGGCGUAAAGCGCACGCAGGCGGUUUGUUAAGUCAGAUGUGAAAUCCCCGGGCUCAACCUGGGAACUGCAUCUGAUACUGGCAAGCUUGAGUCUCGUAGAGGGGGGUAGAAUUCCAGGUGUAGCGGUGAAAUGCGUAGAGAUCUGGAGGAAUACCGGUGGCGAAGGCGGCCCCCUGGACGAAGACUAC
rnacentral:rRNA from 1 species